GAUGAAGAACGCAGCGAAAUGCGAUAAGUAAUGUGAAUUGCAGAAUUCAGUGAAUCAUCGAAUCUUUGUACGCACAUUGCGCCCGCCAGCAUUCUGGCGGGCAUGCCUGUUCGAGCGUCAUUUCAACCCUCGAGCCCCCCCGGGGGCCUCGGUGUUGGGGGACGGCACACCAGCCGCCCCCGAAAUGCAGUGGCGACCCCGCCGCAGCCUCCCCUGCGUAGUAGCACACACCUCGCACCGGAGCGCGGAGGCGGUCACGCCGUAAAACGCCCAACUUUCUUAGAGUUGACCUCGGAUCAGGUAGGAAUACCCGCUGAACUUAAGCAUAUCAAUAAGCGGAGGA
rnacentral:misc_RNA from 1 species